CUACGGGGGGCUGCAGCAGGGAAUAUUGCACAAUGGACGGAAGUCUGAUGCAGCGACGCCGCGUGGAUGAUGAAGGCCUUCGGGUUGUAAAAUCCUUUUCAGGGAGAAGAGGAAGGACGGUAUCCCUGGAAUAAGCGUCGGCUAACUACGUGCCAGCAGCCGCGGUAAUACGUAGGACGCAAGCGUUAUCCGGAUUUACUGGGCGUAAAGCGUCUGUAGGCGGUUUAGUAAGUUUGAUGUGAAAGCUCCAGGCUCAACUUGGAGAGUGCAUUGAAUACUGCUAGACUUGAGGGGAUCAGAGGAAAGCGGAAUUUCCGGUGUAGCGGUAAAAUGCGCAGAUAUCGGAAAGAACACCAGUGGCGAAGGCGGCUUUCUGGGAUCAACCUGACGCUGAGAGACGAAAGCUAGGGUAGCGAACAGGAUUAGAUACCUCGUAGUC
rnacentral:rRNA from 1 species